GCGACGUGCCGAGAAUCCGGCCGGCCCCGCGCCGAUCAGGCUGCGGGCCGGGCCCGGUGUCGGGGUGGGCAGGGCCCUGGCCGACCCUUCCCGGCCAGAGACCCCGCGGCUUCGUCCACACCUUGACUUUCCGAGGGAACGCGGGGACACAGGGGCCCCAAGGCAGUUGGGGGCGCCCCGGGGCCCGGGGCACCUGGAGAUGCGCGGCUCCCUCCCGGCAGAGGAGGGCGGGCUCGCCCGCUCCCGGGGCAGGAGGUGGACGGAGGAGCCCCAGUCCCAGCUCAGACGGGUUCCCUCGCCACCUUCCGGACAAAGUGUCAAGUACAAGUUCAAGUUCAGGGCCAAGCCCAGGGGGUAGGGGCGAGCCUUCCCCGGCCUCCUUUGUUCUUCGAGAUAAUCGCUCCCAAAUCCCCUCCGGGCGGGGCCCGGCAGACGCCCCCGCCCCGCCCCGCCCCGCCGCGCCCCGCAGGAGCCGCCUCCUCCCGCCCGCCGGCGCGGCGCCUGUCCCCUGGUCCCGGCGCCCCAUCUCGGGGCCGCCGAAGGGUCUGGGGGCUCCGGCGGGGGGGAGGCGCGAUCCGAGUCCGUGGGAGCCUCCCCAGCCCCGCAGUCCCAGCAGCAAACCAAGCUUGGCCGGACGGAUGCUCACGCCGAGGGAAGCUGAGCGAAAGCUCCCCUUUGGGGACUUGCAACCCAGAGGUCAUUUCAGAGAGAGAAAUCCCGCGGCUCCUCCAGUCCUCCUUGACCCGGCAAGACCGCACCUUCAGGAGGCACAGCAGGGUCCCUUCAGUCUGCAGAUUCCAAGUGAUGCUCCCAGCUCCAGGAAAGAGAAUCCUGCUGCCCUCCAGAUAGGAAAAUCAAACCGGAGAAACUGCUAUUGGCGGAAGAGAAUCUGCACUGGAUCUGAGAUGAUUCCGACUGAUCGUCCAACUCCAGAAGCAGCUUCGUUCUCCGGAGCUUUGUCAGCAGGACGUGACUGUACAGGGGUGCCGGCAACACUGGGCUGCGCGGGGGAGAUGCCCCAGAUUAGGUUGCAAACAGCCUCUUCCCCUACCCGCUGCAGACUCGGUUUCAUUUUUAAUUCUCCAAAGUCGGAGAAAUAAAUUCCGGAGUGUGAGAC
rnacentral:lncRNA from 1 species